GCCACCGUAGCUCAGCUGGUAGAGCAGGGCAUUCGUAAUGCUCAGGUCUGCGGUUCAACUCCGCACGGUGGCUCCA
rnacentral:tRNA from 2 species